GACGCUGGCGGCGUGCUUAACACAUGCAAGUCGAACGGUAAGGCCUUUCGGGGUACACGAGUGGCGAACGGGUGAGUAACACGUGGGUGAUCUGCCCUGCACUUUGGGAUAAGCCUGGGAAACUGGGUCUAAUACCGAAUAGGACCAUGGACUUCACGGUUUGUGGUGGAAAGCUUUUGCGGUGUGGGAUGGGCCCGCGGCCUAUCAGCUUGUUGGUGGGGUAAUGGCCUACCAAGGCGACGACGGGUAGCCGGCCUGAGAGGGUGACCGGCCACACUGGGACUGAGAUACGGCCCAGACUCCUACGGGAGGCAGCAGUGGGGAAUAUUGCACAAUGGGCGCAAGCCUGAUGCAGCGACGCCGCGGGAGGGAUGACGGCCUUCGGGUUGUAAACCUCUUUCAGCGCAGACGAAGCGCAAGUGACGGUAUGUGCAGAAGAAGGACCGGCCAACUACGUG
rnacentral:rRNA from 1 species